UGGUGUGAUAGUAAUCCUGCUCAGUAUGAUAGGAACUGCAGGUUCAAAUAUUUGGUGUAUGUGCUUGGCUGAGGAGCCAAUGGGGCAAAACUACCAUCUGUGGGAUUAUGACUGAACACCUCUCUAAGUCAGAAUAGCCCCUAAAGGUAAUGAUACUGCUGUGCCAUGGAGCCUUGAUUGGCUCUGGAUAGCUGGCCACUCCCCCAGAGGGGGCAGGACCCAGUGUGGACAGCCGUUCAUGUUGGGACAGGAAAGCAGGCAGAGGGCAGCCACAUUUCCACCCACAGCAUAUCACAUGUUCACAGGGAACCUGGUGCUAAAUCAUGCAUAGAUGCCCUGAUUCUGGGUUAGGUUUUUGUAUAUAGCAGACCAGCUACCUUGUUGCAAUCUAUUGAAAGUCAGCCCUUGAAACCAGCUUU
rnacentral:ncRNA from 1 species